rnacentral:lncRNA from 1 species
GCUGCAAUUUUCCCCACGGUGAUUCCUACCCUUUCUCUCCUUUAUUUCUCUCCAAAGCGCCUCUCCGGCUCCGACAUUCCCCGCGCCUUAUCCGCUCACCGCCGCCCCCUCGCGUCCCCAGCGGGAGCUCCACGGGAGCAGGACGCGCGUCAGAUUCGUUCACUUUUCGAUCAAUCGCCCGCAUCCAGAACAGCGCCCGGCGCGGAGCAGGCGAUUGGAAGAUAUUCGGAGCCCCGGCUUUUGGUCGGGUGCAAGUGUCCUGGGGUGUCCUCGCCGAGCGGGGGAGCAGGCGGGGAGCCCCGGUGGUGCGGGUGGCUGGGGCGCAGCUGGAGCAAGCGGCGCGUUCCCGGGAGGGCCGGGCAGGCCUGGGGCUGCGUGUCCUGCCGCACGCGUGGGACUCACACACGACACGCGCGGGCUCCCGCUGGCGGGCCAAAGCCUGGCUCCGCACGCAAAGCUGGGCCCUUUGCACCGCCCCCCCUUCCAGCUGCGCCCCGCGGAGCCGGGCGGUUCCUCCCACGCCCCGAGCCCGGCCCUAUGGGAGCCCCGCCCCCGCCCCCCCCAACUUCGCGUGACAGCGCCGGGACCGAGGUGGGGAGUCCGGGUGGCUGCGCCCGCCCCGGGCCCUUCUCACGCAACUCCCGGGCACCGCGCCCCCGGCCAGGUGCGGCGGGGAUGGGCCGCGUGACCUCUGCCCCGGGCUGCGCACCGGCGGGGAGGCCUCGCCCCGGGGCGCCCCCCCGCCCCCCAGCCCGGGGGUCCCCCUCCUCCGCCGCCCGCCGCCCGCCGCCGCACAGCCCCACUCGUCGCCCCACUUCUCCGGCCCGCAGACUCGCUCACACCCCAGCAGCCAGGAGGGAACCUCAGGCCUGGGGGCCGGGCCGGGGCGCCCCUGGUUCGCAGCCCCCCAGCGCUCCCGGGCUCCCCAGAGGCGGCGGGCGCUCGGCGGACUGCGCGUCCCCGCCCCGCGCGGCUGCGCCUCGGGGACCCCGGCCUCGCCCGGUGACCGGCCGCGGGGGCCCCGGGGAAGCGAGCCAGCCCUUCGGCGCCGCUGGCCUUCCGGCCCGGUGA